rnacentral:rRNA from 1 species
UACGGAGGGAGCAAGCGUUGUUCGGAUUUACUGGGCGUAAAGGGCGCGUAGGCGGUCGUGACAAGUCACUUGUGAAAUCUCCGGGCUUAACUCGGAACGGUCAAGUGAUACUGUCGGACUAGAGUACAGAAGGGGCAACUGGAAUUCUCGGUGUAGCGGUGAAAUGCGUAGAUAUCGAGAGGAACACCUGCGGCGAAGGCGGGUUGCUGGGCUGAUACUGACGCUGAGGCGCGAAAGCUAGGGGAGCGAACGGG